GUUCUGAUAUUUGGCACGUUACUCAGUUUCACCCUGGGAUUAGAUGUGUAUAAGGUUCUGAUAUUUGGCACGUUACUCAGUUUCACCCUGGGAUUAGAUGUGUAUAAGGUUCUGAUAUUUGGCACGUUACUCAGUUUCACCCUGGGAUUAGAUGUGUAUAAGGUUCUGAUAUUUGGCACGUUACUCAGUUUCACCCUGGGAUUAGAUGUGUAUAAGGUUCUGAUAUUUGGCACGUUACUCAGUUUCACCCUGGGAUUAG